GGUAAUGAUGGCCUUGCCUGUUUAACGUUACUACUGGCUGCUUUUUUCAUUUCAUCAUGCAGGCCCCGAGAUGUCUUCAGAUCCUGGGAUCAAACAAAAAAUACAACGUGAUUAAAGAGGAAAAACGUUUUACAGGUUUUCUAUGUUGUGGAGGACGGUUCUCUCAGGCCAGUCGGAUGGUUGUUGGGAAACAGCCUUUAACUCUGAAAUAAAAACAAUACAGCUCAGAGCUGGAUCUGAAAAUUAGACAAAUCUAAGGUACUUCAUUUAAUAAUUCUCUUCAAGAACGCAUGUUGAGAGGUAAAAGCCAGUGAUUUUGUGUAUUUCAAAUUCAAUAAACUGUGAGUGAUAAUGUUCA